GGGUUACUUACCUGGGUCCUCAAAACUUUUAUUAUUUAUAGAGAAUAUGAUAGAACAACCUUGGGAACGUGUGAUUCUGAGAUUGUCAGGCUAUUGGAUGUGCUAUUAGUGGGCAAAAUAUUCUGGCCCUUAUCUGCUCCUACAAGAUAUGGAGAGUUAGUUACAUCCGAACUUAUCCACUCUGGGUGAACAGCUACUGCACAUACUAGGAAACUAGCUAUUCGAGAUAAC
rnacentral:lncRNA from 1 species